GAUGAACGCUAGCGGCAGGCCUAAUACAUGCAAGUCGAACGGUAACAUGAGAGCUUGCUCUUGAUGACGAGUGGCGCACGGGUGCGUAACGCGUAUGCAACCUACCUAUUACAGGGGGAGUAGCCCGAAGAAAUUCGGAUUAAUACCCCACUAGUAUAACUAGAAGGCAUCUGAAGGUUAUUAAAGUAUUAUACGGUAAUAGAUGGGCAUGCGUAAGAUUAGCUAGUUGGUGAGGUAACGGCUCACCAAGGCCACGAUCUUUAGGGGUCUGAGAGGACGACCAGCCACAUUGGGACUGAGACACGGCCCAGACUCCUACGGGAGGCAGCAGUGGGGAAUUUUGGACAAUGGGCGCAAGCCUGAUCCAGCAAUGCCGCGUGAGUGAAGAAGGCCUUCGGUU
rnacentral:rRNA from 1 species